GAUGAACGCUGGCGGCGUGCUUAACACAUGCAAGUCGAACGAAGCACUUUAUUUGAUUUCCUUCGGGACUGAUUAUUUUGUGACUGAGUGGCGGACGGGUGAGUAACUCGUGGGUAACCUGCCUUGUACAGGGGGAUAACAGUUGGAAACGGCUGCUAAUACCGCAUAAGCGCCCAGCAUCCCAUGAUGCAUUGUGAAAAACUCCGGUGGUAUAAGAUGGACCCGCGUUGGAUUAGCUAGUUGGUGAGGUAACGGCCCACCAAGGCGACGAUCCAUAGCCGAGCUGAUAGGGAGACCGGCCACAUUGGGAGUGAGACACGGUCCAAAAUCCUACGGGAGGGAGCAGUGGGGAAUAUAGCACAAUGGGCGAAGGGCUGAAGCAGCGACGCCGGGUGAGCGAAGAAGUAGGGCGGUAAGUAAAGCUCUAUCAGCAGGGAAGGUAAUGACGUUACCUGACUAAGAAGCACCGGCUAAAUACGUG
rnacentral:rRNA from 1 species